rnacentral:rRNA from 1 species
CCGGUGAACUGAAACAUCUAAGUAACCGGAGGAAGAGAAAACAAUAGUGAUUCCGCAAGUAGUGGCGAGCGAACGCGGACUAGCCCAAACCCAAGUAGUUACGGCUGCUUGGGGGUUGUAGGACUGUGAUAUGGACUGUAUAAACGAACUGGAAUGAUUUGGGAAAGUCAGCCAGAGAGGGUGAGAGCCCCGUACAGGUAAAGUUGUACUACCUAACAGUAUCCUGAGUAGGGCGGAACCGGAGAAAUUCCGUCUGAAUUUGCCAGCACCAUCUGGUAAGGCUAAAUACUCCUGAGAAACCGAUAGUGAACCAGUACCGUGAGGGAAAGGCGAAAAGAACCCCUGUGAGGGGAGUGAAAUAGAACCUGAAACCGUGUGCGUACAAGCAGUAGGAGCAGACUUGUUCUGUGACUGCGUACCUUUUGUAUAAUGGGUCAGCGACUUACAUUUUGUAGCGAGGUUAACCGUAUAGGGGAGCCGUAGGGAAACCGAGUCUUAACUGGGCGUCUAGUUGCAAGGUGUAGACCCGAAACCGGGUGAUCUAGCCAUGGGCAGGUUGAAGGUUGAGUAACAUCAACUGGAGGACCGAACCCACUAACGUUGCAAAGUUAGGGGAUGACCUGUGGCUGGGGGUGAAAGGCCAAUCAAACUCGGAAAUAGCUGGUUCUCCGCGAAAGCUAUUUAGGUAGCGCGUCGGACGAUUACCCACGGGGGUAGAGCACUGGAUGGGCUAGGGGGUCGCGAGAUCUACCAAACCUAACCAAAC